rnacentral:lncRNA from 1 species
GGACCACCCAGAGGCAGGCUGCUUCCAAGCUCAGCACAGGAUCCUCCAUCAUCCCUCCUGCCUUCUUCAGGGAGGACUACCCUUGGCUGUACACUGCUGAAGGGAGUUCAGAGGGCUGUUCUUCCAAAGUGAUCCUGCAGCCAAAACUCCUCUGUCCUCCAGCAUCCACGUCCUUCCCAUCACAAGGGAGGGAGAUCAUCCAUCCCUCCCUCAGUGUGGUUUGUGGGUUUGGUCACCUGGGGCAAGGGCUGCACCUGCUUGUAUCUUCCAGUGGUGCAAGUCCCAGCCUCUCCUCAGCCCAGCUCUGCUGGUCCUGUUUGCCACACCUCCUGCCUUCCCCAAGAAGAUGCCUGAUUGGCAGUUAGACCCUGAUGUGGUCGUUCCUCCUCACCAGUCAACUGGGAGGUGUCCAGUUCCAACAGUGUGGAAUAGUCAAGCCAUGAUGCUGAGGGAUCUUUGCCAGAAAUGCACGGGAGAUUGCCAGAUCAUGUGGAAUGCUGGCUUCAGCCUGCCCAGUACCUACAUGGACAUGUCCAAAUACAGGCAUGGAUGAAGCAAACACAAGAUGAGUUACUGUCUCCAUAGCAGGAGGAGCCCAAGAUGGUUGCAAAAGGAGGGAUUCUAAACCCUUCCUCCACCAUGCUGAGCAGACCAGCUCUAGGACCACUGCUCCCGCAUCAGCCUCAGGCUGAGCUCUGCCCCUCCAGUCCCAGGCCCCAUGCUGCCUGAGCCAGCUCUCUGCCUGCUGAGCUUCCUUGCUUCCCUUACUGCUGUUUUUGUUUUCUUUCCACAGCUCGUUUUCUCGGUCAUCCAUGUCUGUGCAUCAUAUAUCACGCCUAUGUGUCCAGAGGAAAGAAAGAUCCCCUCCAACCCAGCAGCCCUGUAACGGAUGGACCUUCCCGAUUUGCAGCUAGCUGACAGCUUGUGAGAACAACAGCUUGAAUUACUGAAAGAACUUUUCCCACUGAGUUAAUCUGCAAUGGAUGUAGGUGACCUUCUAAAGGCAUCUAUUAAUCAAAAAACGAGUGCCCAUUCACUGUGCUAGGCUGAGACCUUUGGGGGAGGGGAGAUACUAAUUUCCCUCUGAGAUAAAUCAUAAUUUGACAAUAAUCAUC